CUACAACUUCUCUUCAAAGCAAGGAGACUUUGUGAGAGGUGGUGUUUAUGGUGAGAACUUGGUUUGGCUUCUUGUGAGGUAAUCCCUAUUGUAUUGUCUCCAAUUGCUUGUACAUCUCAAGUUUAGAAGAGACACUUGAG